rnacentral:piRNA from 1 species
UGAAGGACACUGUCAGAGAGGGUAUGUCA